rnacentral:rRNA from 1 species
UACGGAGGGUGCAAGCGUUAUCCGGAUUCACUGGGUUUAAAGGGUGCGUAGGUGGGCAGGUAAGUCAGUGGUGAAAUCCUGUAGCUUAACUGCAGAACUGCCAUUGAUACUAUCUGUCUUGAAUACCCUGGAGGUGAGCGGAAUAUGUCAUGUAGCGGUGAAAUGCUUAGAUAUGACAUAGAACACCCAUUGCGAAGGCAGCUCACUACGGGAAUAUUGACGCUGAGGCACGAAAGCGUGGGGAUCAAACAGG